CAAAAGAGGUUAAGUAAAUUUUCCAAGGUCUCAUAACUAGUAAGUAGUGGAGUCGUGUUUGAACACAAGUCCUUCUGAAUCUGGCAAAAGUAAUGCAGUUCAUUAAAUCAUUUUUCCUCUUGGAUUUAUGAUGCUUGAAAAGUUCAGUUCAAAGCAAGCAAGAAUCAGAAAAUGGAAGCCCACUGUUUCUUGCUUUCUUCUCUAUAGAUAUUAUAAACUGGUAGCCUGAAUUCAGCAGAAGGAAAUUUUUUUAUACACAAUGUUUAACUUUAAAAAUUUUUUAAAGUGAGUUAUGACCAUUAUCAGUUACCUAUUGCUGAGCAACAAAAUGUAAAAAAAAAAAAAUAGUGGCUUAAAACACAAUAAAAAUCUGUUAUCUCAGUGUCUUAGCUGGGUGGUUCUGUCUCAUGGUCUCCUGUGAAGUUGCAGAUGUAAUGUUGGCUGGGGCUGUAUCAUCUGAAGGCUUGACUAGGGAUGGAUGAUUCACUUUCAAGGUGGCUUACUCACGCGAUUGGCAUGAUGGUGCUGACUGUUGAUGGGAGAUCUCAAUUAUACCCCAUGUAGGCCUCUUCACAGACUGCUUGACUGUCCUCAUUUCACAGUGGCUAACCUCCCCUAGUCUGCUGGCUGGAUAUCCAUACUCAGAGCACCUUUGCGAGUCAUGCACUGAAGAUGGUAGAGCCUCUGUUAGCCUCAUCUCUGACUGCACGGUGCAGAGUUCCCUCUCUCCACACUCGCCCUCACCCCUAAUCUGGACUGUGGAGUGAGAAAUGAAUUUGAUUGCGUUUGCUGUCUUAAGAUAUUGCCACAGAGGAUAAUGAACAACGAAGAGAAUUCCUGAAGAGUGGAACCAGGGGUCACAGAAAAAUAUGGACAAAACAAUGCCUCUCGUAGAGGAGAAACAGAGUCCAGUCAAAGACAUUUCCCAGUGCUUCCUGGUCAGGGAGAUGUCACAGUGCCUGACCUACCGCUUUGAACCACUGUCGGCUUUCUGUCUUUCAUUUCUUCCCUUUCCGUAUGGGACACCGAAGUUCCUUGUCUCUGCUUACCAGUGUAUAUUUGGGGAGGAGAAAGGAGCAGGGGGCAGAUGACUCCUCUUUUUACUUUACAAAUUUCUCAAACAAAAAGAACCACAUGUGAACCAGAUAGAGCUGACUGAGCAUCACCCAGGGCUUUGAGCUGGAUUCAGCAGUGACUUCGGAUAAUGUUCUAGCGGGUUGGGUAGAGAGGAGUUUAUUCUGUAAGUGGGAGGAAGGAUGAAAUGGAAAGUUAUUGACCAAAAGGGAAAAUAGUGGCGGAGACUGACCAUGUGUUUUCCAAGGUCAUUUCUUUUUCUUCCCAGGCAUUAAUUUAAACUAUAUUUCUCAGGCUCUCCUGCAAUUGGGGUGGGUGGGUGGAGGGGCACGUGACUGAGUUCUGGCCAAUGAGAUGUGGACAAAGUUGAUGUAUGCUGUUUCCAGUCUUGGUUCCUAAAACACCUCCACAUUCCUCUCUGUUGUCACUCCUCUGCUAGCUGAUGUCAACAUCUAGGGCAACACGAGUUUCCUAAUUAACUGCACAGAGCAGACACCCCCAGCUGACAACAUUGAACUCUUUGUGAACAACAAAUACACUUUUAUCGUAUUAAGUCGCUGAGAUUUUGGAUUUAUUUAUUACAGAACCUAGUAUUAAGUAUGCUGACUAAUAAAAUUUCCACUGUACUAA